AUCGCUUCUCGGCCUUUUGGCUAAGAUCAAGUGUAGUAUCAAUGCAAAUAUACUCAAUAAAAUUCUUGCAAAUCAAAUCCAAGAACCCAU
ensembl:snRNA LOC120094960 U2 spliceosomal RNA